rnacentral:rRNA from 1 species
CCUACGGGGGGCUGCAGUCGAGGAUCUUCGGCAAUGGGCGCAAGCCUGACCGAGCGACGCCGCGUGUGCGAUGAAGGCCUUCGGGUUGUAAAGCACUGUCGAGGGGGAGGAAACCGCAAGGUUGACCUAUCCCUGGAGGAAGCACGGGCUAAGUUCGUGCCAGCAGCCGCGGUAAGACGAACCGUGCGAACGUUGUUCGGAUUCACUGGGCUUAAAGGGCGCGUAGGCGGCGGAUCUAGUCGGGGGUGAAAGCUUCCCGCCCAACGGGAAAAGGGCCUCCGAUACUGGUUCGCUCGAGGGGGGUAGGGGCAUGCGGAACUAAUGGUGGAGCGGUGAAAUGCGUAGAUAUCAUUAGGAACGCCGGUGGCGAAAGCGGCGUGCUGGACCCCUUCUGACGCUGAGGCGCGAAAGCCAGGGGAGCAAACGGGAUUAGAUACCCU